ensembl:lncRNA
GUGUGCGCCUUGUGCAUUUCUGUGUUUGUGUGAUCAAGCUUUAAUGAAACAGAGUGGCUCUGAAGCUGGUGGCAGGCUCGUGCCCUUGGCUCCCAGGGCCUACCUCUGAGUACUCACUGCCUCAGAGCCUCCGGUCGGUCUUAGGGGUUGGGAUAGGUAAAGGGGCAGCCAUGGAAGAGUCCUGUGUGAAUGUGUGUGGGUGCCUGUAAAGGUGCCUACAGCUGCCCAGAUAGGAAGGAGACACAGGCCCAGAGAGGUGACAUCUCCGGCCUGAGUUCGCACAGAAGUCACUAAAGGGGCCAGAGCUGGAUCCUUGGGUCACCUGGGUCCCUGAACCGUGCUCUGUCCUGCCAUCUCCCCCUGUCAGGGCUUCUGGCCCUGUGGCUCUAUCAUCCGUUAAUCAGUGGUGAUACCCGGGUCCAGCUCCUCCCUCACACCAGGACAGGCAAGGACACUGGGCAAGUCUGUCCACCAGAGGCAGGAGGGGCUGUGACAUGUCAAUGGGCCCCUCCUCCAAGGCAAAGU